CAGUAGCCGCGGUAAUACGUAGGGUGCGAGCGUUAAUCGGAAUUACUGGGCGUAAAGCGUGCGCAGGCGGUUUUGUAAGACAGGCGUGAAAUCCCCGGGCUCAACCUGGGAAUGGCGCUUGUGACUGCAAAGCUAGAGUGCGGCAGAGGGGGAUGGAAUUCCGCGUGUAGCAGUGAAAUGCGUAGAUAUGCGGAGGAACACCGAUGGCGAAGGCAGCCCCCUGGGCCAAUACUGACGCUCAUGCACGAAAGCGUGGGGAGCAAACAGGAUUAGAUACCCCAGUAGUCCCUGUCUCUUAUAC
rnacentral:rRNA from 1 species